rnacentral:miRNA from 1 species
CAUACUUUGUCUCCAUGUUUCCUUCCCCCUUAGGGGAAGGAAUGGACAAUUCCUUCACAAAGUGUG